GAUGAACGCUAGCGGCAGGCUUAACACAUGCAAGUCGAGGGGCAGCAUAAACAUUGCUUGCAAUGUUUGAUGGCGACCGGCGCACGGGUGCGUAACGCGUAUGCAACCUACCCAUAACAGGGGGAUAAAACUGAGAAAUUGGUACUAAUACCCCGUAAUAUUAUGAAAGGCAUCUUUUAUAGUUGAAAGUUCCGGCGGUUAUGGAUGGGCAUGCGGUGUAUUAGCUAGUUGGUGCGGUAACGGCUCACCAAGGCGACGAUACAUAGGGGGACUGAGAGGUUAACCCCCCACAUUGGUACUGAGACACGCACCAAACUCGUACGGGAAGCAGCAGUGAGGAAUAUUGGUCAAUGGACGCAAGUCUGAACCAGCCAUGCCGCGUGCAGGAAGACGGCUCUAUGAGUUGUAAACUGCUUUUGUAGGAGGGUAAAAUUGGGUACGUGUACCCAACUGCAAGUAUCAUACGAAUAAGGAUCGGCUAACUCCGUGCCAGCCGCCGCCGUAACAC
rnacentral:rRNA from 1 species